rnacentral:rRNA from 1 species
UACGUAGGGUGCAAGCGUUGUCCGGAUUUAUUGGGCGUAAAGAGCUCGUAGGCGGCUUGUCGCGUCGACUGUGAAAACUCGGGGCUCAACUCCGAGCUUGCAGUCGAUACGGGCAGGCUAGAGUUCGGUAGGGGGAGACUGGAAUUCCUGGUGUAGCGGUGAAAUGCGCAGAUAUCAGGAGGAACACCGGUGGCGAAGGCGGGUCUCUGGGCAUUAACUGACGCUGAGGAGCGAAAGCAUGGGGAGCGAACAGG